GGCAGAGAAAAUGGAAGGCUGUGCGAGCUAGCUUGCUAGCUGAACGAAUCCAAUAAUAACUGGAAAGUAAUCAUUUGUAUCCAAGCUACCUAUGGAUGUCAGUAUGGACCCAAUGGAAAAUAACAGUGAUGCUAAUAAUUCAGAGGACCAGCAGAGCCAGUCAGAAGGGGCAGAGACGAGUGUUAGACCGACCAUGUCUCAGGUUAAAAAGUCUUGGGGGUUUAGGCGGACAACCAUCGCUAAAAGGGAGUUCUUGGAUGAAAUCGGAGACCUAACCCACAGUCCUCCAAUCGUACGCAGAGGCAGAGGCCGCCGAACCAACCAGACACCCCUGGCCACUCCAGAAACCCACACAACCCAGAGAGCUUCUGGUGCAACGAGGAGUGUUCUAGAUGACCUCGAGUGGUCUGCCCCAUCCUCGCCUGUAUCAGAGGAGAGCAAGCCAGCCUCAGAAGCUUCUGCAGGAGGGAGCCUUGACCCCAGCUUAUGGCAAGAUUUUGGGUCUGCCUUCCACACUGCCUUCUCACUGCUCGGCGGGAAUGAAGGCUUGCCAAUGGAAAUGUCAGAUGCGCUGACAGUCCCUGACAUUUUGGAAGCCACUGAUGCCAUCGUGACCCCUCUACAGGUUAUAGAAGAAACUGAGGGGCCUGAUAAUAUUGAAUCUGCUGAUGACAUGGAGCUCUCACAGCCUGUUGCUUCUGACAACGUGGCAGGAGGGGAAACUGAUGAUGUGGUGUUGAUUUCUAGUCAAGAGGACAGCGAUGACAUGACUCUGAUACAGAUUAAGGAGCAGCUGACAUCUAAAGGCAGGCAGGGUGACACAAGACCUAGAGGGAGAGGUGGAAGAGGAAAGGCCAGAGGAAGGGGUAGAGGCAGAGGAAGAGGUAGGGGAAGAGGUAGAGGAAGGGGCAGAGGGAGGGGCAGGGCAGCGGCGCUUCAGUCAAGCAUGGUAGAUGAUGAGGACAACGAUGAUGAUGAUGAGGUGGUGCUUGGAUCCAUCCAGCCAUCUGAGCACCAGCUGCAGCAGUUGCAAGAAGAGGAAAAAGAAAAUGAUCCACACAGCCUUUCUGAAAUAGAGAUCUCAUCUGCUAUCUCUGACAUCACGCAAUCAAGCUCAGACUGCAUAAUCAUAGACACUGAUUUAGACCAGAUUACUGAUGUGACUCCUGGCCAGUAUGAUGAUGCACCAGAGGAGGAGGAGGAGGAGGAGAAAAAGACUACAAGAAUGUAG
rnacentral:lncRNA from 1 species